rnacentral:rRNA from 1 species
AUUGAACGCUGGCGGCAGGCCUAACACAUGCAAGUCGAACGAGUGGCGGACGGGUGAGUAAUGUCUGGGAAACUGCCUGAUGGAGGGGGAUAACUACUGGAAACGGUAGCUAAUACCGCAUACCAUCAGAUGUGCCCAGAGGGGAUUAGCUUGUUGGUGGGGUAACGGCUAACCAAGGCGACGAUCCCUAGCUGGUCGGAGGGGAGGACCAGCCAAACGGGAACGGAGACACGGUCCAGACCCCCACGGGAGGCAGCAGUGGGGAAGAUUGGACAAGGGGCGCAAGCCGGAUGCAGCCAUGCCGCGGGUAUGAAGAAGGCCUUCGGGUUGUAAAGUACUUUCAGCGGGGAGGCGUUACCCGCAGAAGAAGCACCGGCUAACUCCGUGCCAGCAGCCGCGGUAAUUC